AUAAUGAUGAUGAUGAUGAUGAUGAUGAUGUUGAUGAUCAAGCCUUGUGAGCGAGCUCCAUGACAGCGAUGGUGGUACUCUGGCCAAAGAUGAAGGUUCCAACAACGACAGUGACAACGCCCCAUCCGGUCAGGAACAUCCUGUAAGAAAACCCACAGAGACGUUUAAUAGAAACGGAAAUGUUUAGAGUUUAUGGAGGAAAUUCCAUGACUGUGUCAGGCUGGAUGAGAGGAUCGAGGAAAGAAAUAAAAGGUUGUUCCAGAAACGUCAUCCCUUCUCUGAGGAAAGCCAUGCCACUUGAGUCCAGCUUACGGCUGUGAUCGGACAGUCAUUGUAUUUCACUGUGGCACGACUGCAACGUAGUGAUGAAAGUCAAAUGCAAUGAAAAAUGAAGAUAAAGAAGGCACUGAUUCCUCCAAUCACACUGAUGACGUCACUCAUGUCUGGAACAUAGACGGCGAUGAGAAGUGUCACAGCGAUCCACAGGACGGUCAGAAGGACCCGACAACGGCACUCGAACCCCACCGUAACAAUGGCACGUCGCUCCUGGUAACGCAGCACCAAUGCCAGGAUGACAGUCCUGAUUUAAGAGAACAAUGUUGUACAGAGGGAGGUGUGUGUCGGGAUGUGUGUGUGUGUGAUAAGAUACAUUUAUAGUCUGUUCACCUGCCCA